UUACUACUCCCUUGGUCCCAAAAUUCUUAUUUUAAAUUUGUCUAGAUACGAAUGUAUCUAACACUAAAAUAUAACUAGAUAUAUUCAUAUUUAGAUAAAUCUAAGAUAAGAAUUUUGGUAUGAAGGGAGUACUAC
rfam:Triticum aestivum genome assembly, contig: Triticum_aestivum_CS42_TGACv1_scaffold_019176_1AS